GGUUGGAUCAUUACAAAAUGAUGGUUUUUUAAGCUUGAGCUGCUUAACAGUGGCUCGCUUAAAAACUUAUUCACCCUUGUGCAUCGUAAUGUUUUUUGGGUCGGUUUAACGACUUGCCCAACAUUUUUUAAACACUUUAUAAUUUGACUGAAUUUUUUUUGAAAAUUAAAAAAAUAACGACUUUUGACAACGGAUCUCUUGGCUCUCGCAACGAUGAAGAACGCAGCGAAAUGCGAUACGUAAUGUGAAUUGCAGAAUUCCGUGAAUCAUCGAAUCUUUGAACGCACAUUGCACUCUAUUUCGGUAGAGUAUGCCUGUUUGAGAAUCUAUAGUAUUUAUUUUGCCUUUAUGCUUUUUAGGAAGCAUUUUGAACAAAGAAGUGCUGCUCGACUAAUAAUCUUCAGCGAAUCUGAUUAGCUGGAACUUUUCUCAUAGUGUUUGACUUUUUGCAAAGGAUCAGAAAUGUAUUUGAAUGGGCUUAUGCUCUUAUGAUUACAUAUUAUGAUUUCGCAAAGAUUAGCUUGAUUAAUUUUACAGAUUAUAUCUCAUAAAAGCCUUUAAAAAGCUUUGAACCAUGGUCUCAAAUCAGGUAGGAAUACCCGCUGAACUUAAGCAUAUCAAUAAGCGGAGGAAAAGAAACUAACAAGGAUUCCCCUAGUAACGGCGAGUGAAGCGGGAACAGCUCAAAUUUGAAAUCUCACUUAGGUGCGAAUUGUAGUUUAGAGAAACGUUUUCGGUCUUGACAUUGGGUACAAGUCCAUUGGAACAUGGCAUCACAGAGGGUGAAAAUCCCGUCUAUGAUCCAGUGCUCAAGGCCAUAUGAUACGUUUUCCAAGAGUCGGUUUGUUUGGGAAUGCAGACCAAAAUGGGAGGUAAAUACCUUCUAAAGCUAAAUAUUGGCGAGAGACCGAUAGCGAACAAGUACCGUGAGGGAAAGAUGAAAAGAACUUUGAAAAGAGAGUUAAACAGUACGUGAAAUUGUCAAAAGGGAAACGCUUGAAACCAGUAUUGCUUGCUAGAUUUAGCUGUCAUUUAUGGCAGUGUCCUUUCUAGUUUGCAAGUCAACAUCAGUUUGGCCUGGUGUAAAAAGCUCGAGAAAGGUAGCCUUCGGGUAUUAUAGUCUCGAGUCAUGCAUUGGGCUGGACUGAGGUCUGCAGCUUUUGCUUAGGAUGUUGACGAAAUGGUUUUAAACGACCCGUCUUGAAACACGGACCAAGGAGUCUAACAUAUAUGCGAGUAUUUGGGUGGCAAACCCUUUUGCGUAAUGAAAGUGAAAAGGUGGGAUCUCUUUGAGUGCACCAUCGACCGCGCCAGAUUAUUACUAUCUCGGCGUGAGUAUGAGCAUACAUGUUGGGACCCGAAAGAUGGUGAACUAUACCUGAAUAGGGUGAAGCCAGAGGAAACUCUGGUGGAGGCUCGUAGCGGUUCUGACGUGCAAAUCGAUCGUCAAAUUUGGGUAUAGGGGCGAAAGACUAAUCGAACCAUCUAGUAGCUGGUUCCCUC
rnacentral:misc_RNA from 1 species